rnacentral:rRNA from 1 species
GACGUAGGGCGCGAGCGUUGUCCGGAUUUAUUGGGCGUAAAGAGCUCGUAGGCGGCUUGUCGCGUCGUUCGUGAAAACCCAUGGCUCAACUGUGGGCUUGCGGUCGAUACGGGCAGGCUAGAGUUCGGUAGGGGAGACUGGAAUUCCUGGUGUAGCGGUGAAAUGCGCAGAUAUCAGGGGGAACACCGGUGGCGAAGGCGGGUCUCUGGGCCGAUACUGACGCUGAGGAGCGAAAGCGUGGGGAGCGAACAGG